AGUGAACGCUGGCGGUAGGCCUAACACAUGCAAGUCGAACGGCAGCACAGUAAGAGCUUGCUCUUACGGGUGGCGAGUGGCGGACGGGUGAGGAAUACAUCGGAAUCUACUUUUUCGUGGGGGAUAACGUAGGGAAACUUACGCUAAUACCGCAUACGACCUACGGGUGAAAGCAGGGGAUCUUCGGACCUUGCGCGAUUGAAUGAGCCGAUGUCGGAUUAGCUAGUUGGCGGGGUAAAGGCCCACCAAGGCGACGAUCCGUAGCUGGUCUGAGAGGAUGAUCAGCCACACUGGAACUGAGACACGGUCCAGACUCCUACGGGAGGCAGCAGUGGGGAAUAUUGGACAAUGGGCGCAAGCCUGAUCCAGCCAUACCGCGUGGGUGAAGAAGGCCUUCGGGUUGUAAAGCCCUUUUGUUGGGAAAGAAGAGCAGCAGGUUAAUACCUCGCUGUUCUGACGGUACCCAAAGAAUAAGCACCGGCUAACUUCGUG
rnacentral:rRNA from 1 species